rnacentral:rRNA from 1 species
GACGAACGCUGGCGGCGUGCUUAACACAUGCAAGUCGAACGGAAAGGCCCUGCUUUUGUGGGGUGCUCGAGUGGCGAACGGGUGAGUAACACGUGAGUAACCUGUCCUUGACUUUGGGAUAACUUCAGGAAACUGGGGCUAAUACCGGAUAGGAGCUCCUGCUGCAUGGUGGGGGUUGGAAAGUUUCGGCGGUUGGGGAUGGACUCGCGGCUUAUCGGCUUGUUGGUGGGGUAGUGGCUUACCAAGGCAUUGACGGGUAGCCGGCCUGGGAGGGUGGCCGGCCACAUUGGGACUGAGAGACGGCCCAGUCUCCUACGUGAGGCAGCAGUGGGGAAUAUUGCACAAUGGGCGGAAGCCUGAUGCAGCAACGCCGCGUUCGUGAUGACGGCCUUCGGGUUGUAAACCGCUUUCGCCUGUGACGAAGCGUGAGUGACGGUAAUGGGUAAAGAAGCACCGGCUAACUACGUG